UGGGGAAUAUUCGACAAUGGGGGGAACCCUGAUCCAGCCAUGCCGCGUGUGUGAAGAAGGCCUUAUGGUUGUAAAGCACUUUAAGCGAGGAGGAGGGUACUGGUAUUAAUACUACCAGGUACUGGACGUUACUCGCAGAAUAAGCACCGGCUAACUCUGUGCCAGCAGCCGCGGUAAUACAGAGGGUGCAAGCGUUAAUCGGAAUUACUGGGCGUAAAGCGCGCGUAGGUGGUUCGUUAAGUUGAAAGUGAAAGCCCCGGGCUCAACCUGGGAACUGCAUCCAAAACUGGCGAGCUAGAGUAGGGCAGAGGGUGGUGGAAUUUCCUGUGUAGCGGUGAAAUGCGUAGAUAUAGGAAGGAACACCAGUGGCGAAGGCGACCACCUGGGCUCAUACUGACACUGAGGUGCGAAAGCGUGGGGAGCAAACAGG
rnacentral:rRNA from 1 species